rnacentral:lncRNA from 1 species
AACCCUAAAAAAUCAUGGGAAAAAAGAUAUUAAUAAACGACAACAGAUAGUUUGAUACACCAAUCUUUUGAUAUGCGCAAGAUUCAAAGAAAAAUUCAAUUAUAAAAGUCUAUUGUAUACAGUUUUAUUCUGUAUUUUCAUAUGAGAUUAUUUUCGCAACUUAAAACUGUAAUUUUCUAAUCACAUGAUAAUAGUUUUACUUUACUAAUUACAUCAAGACAGGAAUACUGUCUCUCUUCUGUAACCCUACAAAUCAUGGAGAAAAAAAAUAUUAGUAAACGACAACGAACAGUUCGGUACACCAAUCUUCUGUUAUGCAUAAGAUUCAAAGAAAAUUGAAUCUUUAUCUUGUAUUUCUACAUGCAAUAAUUUUCACAACUUGUAACAAUAAUUUUACUAAUUACGUCAAGACAAAAUACUGACAAUAUACCCUAUCAUAUUUAUAUAUCUCAUCCCACUAAACCUUAUCAAGAAAACAAUCCAAAAGAACCAAAACCCCUUUUCAACUUGGAAACAAAAAAAAUACUCUCUUGAAAUUUUGCAAAAAAUGAUCACAAAAGAGAUGGAAGUAGUGAAGAACUUGGUUGCUGAAAGAUACAUGGGAAGGUGGUAUGAAAUUGCCUCAUUCCCAUCAAGAUUUCAGCCAAUAGACAGUAGACACGUAAUUUUAUUCGUCCAAAAAAAUUAUACGCACACAUACACUAGAAACACCAUGAACACACAUACACAGACCUCCAUUUAUGUGCUUAUUCACUAAAGAAUACACACUAUCACAAAUCACACAUUCAUCCACCACAAAAAGAGAACACAACAUGCACACAUUACUGAUUCACACCGAAAAAUGCACACACCAUCACAGAGAGAGGAGAAUACAUACGCAUAGAUCGGGAGAGAGAGAGAGAGAGAAACAGGCGUUGAUUUGACCAUUUCCAGAGAGUUUCUCGCCGGAAACCCAUCGAAAUCGUCACUAGGAAGCUCCGGCGAUCACUAUUGGUCACUGUUGCGGCGAAAACCGCCGGAAAACAGCCAUACCAACUUUGUUCCGACCAAAUCCAUGUCGAACAGCCACCUUUUUUGUUCCGGCGAGAUUUGGUUAAAUCCGGUGGGAUCUCGGAUAUGAAUUUUCUCGAUUUUUCAAUUUCAGUCUCGGCUUGUUUUGCUAUUUCUUCUUCUGCGGGGUUCAUAUCUGUCCGGGUCUUUAUUUCUCGAUAUCGAGUUGGAUCUUUGUGGUUGUUGAGGCUUGAGUUGAAAUUAUCGAAAGCGAAUUUCUUUAUUUUAUCAAGCAGUAUUCUUCGAAAGUUUCUAAUCGAGAUCAAUUUUUAAUCUCUGCUCUUUUAUUUUCUUGUUUAUGAUAUAUCCUGUGUUAUGGAUUGAAUAUUUUUGUUGAUUGUUUGAUCUUUAUUGGUGGUGAAUAAUUGCUUGAUUUUUGAUUCAUUGUUGAUUCGGUUGAUUAUGUAUAACGUGAUGAAAUGAUAUACCAUUUGAUAUUUGAAAUUGGUAAUUUGAAGAUAAAUUGGGGCUGGGAAUUAAACAAUUGAAAGAAGCUAAUAUUGAUUUUGUUUUGAUUCAUUGAUGAUUAUUUAAUUCGGAAUGAGUAUCAUAUUGUUAAAUAUAAUAGUAUCACGAUGGAUUAAAAUUAGUAGGCAAACGAUAGGUUGGGUAGGCAAAUUUAGGGAUUGUAGAUUGAUGGAAUGUUUGAAAUGUGUGUUGAAUAAUUUUUUGUUUUAUCUUAUUUGACUCAAUUGUACUCAUUUUGUCGGAAAAUGCUUCGAGAUAUCUGUAUUAUUUUAUUCGGGGAAUACUCCAAGAAAGUUGUAUGCAAAGUAGGUUCGUGAUCAAGGUCCGAGGC